AUUGAACGCUGGCGGCAGGCCUAACACAUGCAAGUCGAACGGUAGCACAGAGAGCUUGCUCUCGGGUGACGAGUGGCGGACGGGUGAGUAAUGUCUGGGAAACUGCCCGAUGGAGGGGGAUAACUACUGGAAACGGUAGCUAAUACCGCAUAACGUCGCAAGACCAAAGUGGGGGACCUUCGGGCCUCACACCAUCGGAUGUGCCCAGAUGGGAUUAGCGAGUAGGUGGGGGAAUGGCUCACCUAGGCGACGAUCCCUAGCUGGUCUGAGAGGAUGACAAGCCACACUGGAACUGAGACACGGUCCAGACUCCUACGGGAGGCAGCAGUGGGGAAUAUUGCACAAUGGGCGCAAGCCUGAUGCAGCCAUGCCGCGUGUAUGAAGAAGGCCUUCGGGUUGUAAAGUACUUUCAGCGGGGAGGAAGGCGGUGAAGUUAAUAACUUCACCGAUUGACGUUACCCGCAGAAGAAGCACCGGCUAACUCCGUGCCAGCCGCCGCCGUAA
rnacentral:rRNA from 1 species